CGGACAACAACGAACGCCCGCAAUUUGUAUACUCAAUUCAUGCGCAAUUAAUCCUCUCCCCAGUGGGACAGGGCCCUUAAAACAGAAAGUCCAUUUCAUGGAAAUGGUGCCGAUUUUCAGAUUGUACUCUGAAUGAGCAGCGCUAAUUAGGUUAUAUCUGCUGUCAGCGUUUACUGCCAUUUUAUUAGGCCCAUUAUCCAGGAAACGUCUGCCUUGCCAGUACAUGACGAGUACGUGGUGUAAACUGGAUAAAUCUACAGCGCAGGGGUCCUGGUGACCAUCGCUAGCACCGCUGGGUGCAGGUGGGCCUGGCUGACUGAAGCUGACGGAUUGAUCCGACCCUCUCAGUCAGUCCUUCCUGGCUUCCUGGCGUUUUGCCCUGGCUGCUGUAGUGAUGAGGUAAUGCUGUUUGCUGCUUGCCUGUUGCUCCCCACCCCCCCACUCCACUUCCCUCCUUCAGCAGUGAAGCACAGCAGCAGCGAGCCCGGGCGCUUCCUCAGGGUCCUAGCGCUCCCCAGGCAGACGGCUCUCCAGUGGUGAAGCUGCUGAUGUUUACGAAACAGGGCGGAUCCCACACACCAGAAUGAAAGUGUUAUGGCGAACUGCGAGGACGUGUUAGAGAGACA